UGUUCUCAACUAACUUGCCUGGUUAAAUAAAAAAGGUAAGAAAAAGAAGUAUCCUCUGCCUCUCCGGAGCUUUGCUGUAGUUAUCAGCACAACUGGCUAACAAAAGAAACAAUAUUACUACCAGAAAAAGCAACAAAGAAAGAGAUGUGAGGAAUGGGAGCGUAAGUGGAGAGAGGGUGAAUGAGAGGGCGGAAGACAGAAAGAGGAGAAAGAUGUGAGGAAGGGAGCGUAAGUGGAGAGAGGCGUGAAUGAGAGGACGGAAGACAGAAAGAGGAGAAAGAUGUGAGGAACGGGA
rnacentral:lncRNA from 1 species